rnacentral:rRNA from 1 species
GAUCCUGGGCUCAGGAUGAACGCUAGCUACAGGCUUAACACAUGCAAGUCGAGGGGCAGCAUGGUCUUAGCUUGCUAAGGCCGAUGGCGACCGGCGCACGGGUGNGUAACACGUAUCCAACCUGCCGUCUACUCUUGGACAGCCUUCUGAAAGGAAGAUUAAUACAAGAUGGCAUCAUGAGUCCGCAUGUUCACAUGAUUAAAGGUAUUCCGGUAGACGAUGGGG